rnacentral:lncRNA from 1 species
CCUUCCCUGGAUUACCUAUCAAGGCUAACAAAGUUCAGCCAUGUGGACAUGUUUGCAGACAGUUGAGACUGUAUUACUAUCUCAUGGCUAGAGUUCCAAGGUAAAAGCUUUUGGAUCUUUGUGUGUAUAUACAUCUAGAUGUGUUUAUGUGUAUGCACAUGUAUUACAUUAUAUGUUGUGACUACCAAAUUGGCUUAUACAUAAAAGAACACUCCUAGAUUAAGUAAAUAAGUCCAAAGUAUUUUUUACAUUCACGUUACUUAAGUAAAUUUUUAAGAAGCUAGCAUUAAAAUUAUUGUAAGAUAAAAAUAGAAAUGUCUUCAGAAUUGUCAGCAUACAUUUUUUCGGGGUUUUAUGUUUGUCUCUGCUAGAUAUUUUGGGGCAUCAGAGUGUGGCACAGAAAGUUAUAAAACUAUAACCAGUAGUUUGAGACCAGUCUGAAAAAUGAAGACCCCCCCCCGCCCCACCAUCUCUAUAACAUAAAAAUAAGACAAUUAGCCAGGCACAUUGAUUCAUGCCUGCAGCUAGUCAGGAGACUGAGGUGAGAGGAUGCUUGAGCCUGAAAGGUCAAGGUUGCAGUGACUCAUGAUCCAGCCACUGCACUCCAGCCUGGGUGACAGAGUGAGACCCUGUCAAAAAAGAAAAAGAUAAGAGGCAGAGAAUGACAAUGGGGCACAGGAGCAUUGCAGAGAAACUAGGGGAACAGUUGUAAUUGUUAAUACGAUGGUCAGAGGAGGCCUCAUUGAGCAAGUGGCUUUAAGGUGAAGAUUUAAAGAGGGUAAUAAGGUUUUCUAUAGGUAUAAUGAGAAAACAGAAUGCAAGCAGAAGAAAAAGGACAGCAAAGUGCCUGAAGCAGAGAAGGCAAAGAGAUUGAAGUCAGGGACAUGACUGGAGGGAUGUCAGGGAGGUGACUGGAUUCUAAGUCAUGGAGAACUUAGAGGGCUGUUAUAAGACUUUUAUAUAUCUUUCUCUGAAUGAGAUUGGGAGUGACAGCAGGACUUGCACAACGAAUAACAAAAUGUGGCUUUUGUUUUAAAAG